AGUGAACGCUGGCAGUAGGCCUAACACAUGCAAGUCGAACGGCAGCACAGUAAGAGCUUGCUCUUACGGGUGGCGAGUGGCGGACGGGUGAGGAAUACAUCGGAAUCUACUUUUUCGUGGGGGAUAACGUAGGGAAACAUACGCUAAUACCGCAUACGACCUACGGGUGAAAGCAGGGGAUCUUCGGACCUUGCGCGAUUGAAUGAGCCGAUGUCGGAUUAGCUAGUUGGCGGGGUAAAGGCCCACCAAGGCGACGAUCCGUAGCUGGUCUGAGAGGAUGAUCAGCCACACUGGAACUGAGACACGGUCCAGACUCCUACGGGAGGCAGCAGUGGGGAAUAUUGGACAAUGGGCGCAAGCCUGAUCCAGCCAUACCGCGUGGGUGAAGAAGGCCUUCGGGUUGUAAAGCCCUUUUGUUGGGAAAGAAAAGCAGCAGGUUAAUACCCCGCUGUUCUGACGGUACCCAAAGAAUAAGCACCGGCUAACUUCGUG
rnacentral:rRNA from 1 species